GCUAUAGGCCAGGCUCAGGCCUCAAAAAUUAAUCGUAGGCUAGGCUCAGACCUUUUAAAGCCUGGUCUGGCCUGACCUAUUCCCACCCUUAGAUACAAGCAUGAAAUGUGUUCUUAACCCCUCUCUAGUGGAUUUGGGCCUACGAUCAUGAAUCAAGCUAACGUGCUGACCCAGUGCCCUCAAACUCAAUAAAUCCAGAAUUUCAAUAGUAUAUAUGUCAAUCACAAUCAGCACGAUGCCUCAACAUACAUAUGGAGCUGAACGUUGCUAAAAUACAACAUUGAAUGUAACCAAUGAUGACAUUGAACAUUAUAUGCAGCC
rnacentral:lncRNA from 1 species